AAUGUGAUGGAAAAAAAUGCUUAAGAUUAUGAAAGAACCAGGCAAGAAUUGCAAGAAUGAAUCGUGGCAAGCUUUUAUUGACUAUUGCAUCCAUGAUUUCCGCUACCCACGUACUGAACAAUGGCUUUAUGAAAAGUUGACACGUACCUAUUCUUGCAUUUCAUUGGAAAUUCUAUCGUAACAUUUAGCAUAGCUCUAAUGUGAUUGACUGCAGGAUCUUGAUUUUCUUCUUUAUAUAGAGGUGGGUGUUUGCAGAGCCGUUGUAAGGCACACGUGUGCCCGACGGUUACAAAAUCAUGGGAAGUGUAAACGUCGGGGAGAGAAAAGAGACGUUACAAGUUCGUUUGAACUGGUCUUUGUUACAUUAGAGACUGGGAGAAUGUUUAUGCUUGAUCCAGAAUUGAGAUCUUUGCAAAUUUUGAUUGGGCACACCGGUUGUCCUAACAUGGAAUUUCCUUGUAUGUGUUUUGUAAUAUUUUUCAGGGAGGGAGGAUUGACAAUGCUUGGGUAUUAAUGUGAUGGAAAAAAAUGCUUAAGAUUAUGAAAGAACCAGGCAAGAAUUGCAAGAAUGAAUCGUGGCAAGCUUUUAUUGACUAUUGCAUCCAUGAUUUCCGCUACCCACGUACUGAACAAUGGCUUUAUGAAAAGUUGACACGUACCUAUUCUUGCAUUUCAUUGGAAAUUCUAUCGUAACAUUUAGCAUAGCUCUAAUGUGAUUGACUGCAGGAUCUUGAUUUUCUUCUUUAUAUAGAGGUGGGUGUUUGCAGAGCCGUUGUAAGGCACACGUGUGCCCGACGGUUAC
rnacentral:lncRNA from 1 species